rnacentral:rRNA from 1 species
GCGACGCUUCUUUCAAGUGUCUGCCUUAUCAACUGUCGAUGGUAGGUUAUGCGCCUACCAUGGUUGUCACGGGUAACGGAGAAUCAGGGUUCGGUUCCGGAGAGGGAGCCUGAGAAACGGCUACCACAUCCAAGGAAGGCAGCAGGCGCGCAAAUUACCCACUCCCGGCACGGGGAGGUAGUGACGAAAAAUAACAAUACGGGACUCUUUUGAGGCCCCGUAAUUGAAAUGAGUACACUCUAAAUCCUUUAACGAGGAUCAAUUGGAGGGCAAGUCUGGUGCCAGCAGCCGCGGUAAUUCCAGCUCCAAUAGCGUAUGCUAAAGUUGCUGCGGUUAAAAAGCUCGUAGUUGGAUCUCAGUUCCAGUCGGGUGGUGCAUCUAACCGAUGCGACAGCCCGGGCUGAACAUCAUGCCUACCUUCCUCUGGUGUCCUUCACUGGAUGCCUCUGGGUGGUAGGUGCAUUUACUUUGAAAAAAUUAGAGUGCUCAACGCAGGCGCAUUGCCUGAAUACUCACGCAUGGAAUAAUGGAAUAAGACCUCGUUUCUGUUCUGUUGGUUUUUGGAAAACGAGAUAAUGAUCGAGAGGGACAGACGGGGGCAUUCGUAUUGCGGCGCUAGAGGUGAAAUUCUUGGACCGUCGCAAGACGAACUACUGCGAAAGCAUUUGCCAAGAAUGUUUUCAUUGAUCAAGAACGAAAGUCAGAGGUUCGAAGGCGAUCAGAUACCGCCCUAGUUCUGACCAUAAACGAUGCCAACCAGCAAUCCGCCUGAGUUACUCAAAUGACUCGGCGGGCAGCUUCCGGGAAACCAAAGUAUUUGGGUUCCGGGGGAAGUAUGGUUGCAAAGCUGAAACUUAAAGGAAUUGACGGAAGGGCACCACCAGGAGUGGAGCCUGCGGCUUAAUUUGACUCAACACGGGAAAACUUACCCGGCCCGGACACUGGAAGGAUUGACAGAUUGAGAGCUCUUUCUUGAUUCGGUGGAUGGUGGUGCAUGGCCGUUCUUAGUUGGUGGAGCGAUUUGUCUGGUUAAUUCCGAUAACGAACGAGACUCCAGCCUA